CAUAAAUGUAUGACUCUAGAACUUUUAUACCGUGAGGCCAAACUUGGCAUGUGAUACCUUUACGGAAAGCCCAAAGAGAGCUCUCCGAUGAAUUAGGAAGGAAAAUGGAAUUCUUCUAUAGUUUUGUUUUCUACUCCAAAUUUUGACCUUAAUGUACUUUUUCGGGCCUUUUCGUAAUCUUUGCUAUAUUACGGGGCAAAAAUUAUAUGUACGGACAUUGUUUUCGUAUAUUUUGUAUGUAUCAAAGCUCUUAUAAACAAGAUAGGGUAUUCCUACAUAGCUGAAGGGACCCGCGUCAAAUCGAUCAUAAAGUCUUCAAAAAAGAAUAGAUACAAUUGCAUUGCAUGUAGUUACGGAUGCGAUCAUACCAGCACUAAUGCACCAGAUCCCAUCAGAACUCUAUAGUUAAGCGUGCUUGGGGUAGAGUAGUACUAGGAUGGGUGAUCUCCAAGAAAGUCCUCGUGUGUCAUCCCUCUUUUUGUUUUGUUAAAAAUGUAUGACUCUAUAACUUUAACACCGUGAGGCCAAACUUAACAUGUGAUACCUUUUCGGAAAGCCCAAAGAGAGCUCUCCGAUGAAUGAGGAAGGAAAAUGGAAUUCUUCUAUUGGUUUUUUUUCUUCUCCAAAUUUUGAUUUUAAUGUACUUUUUUGAGCCUUUUCGUGAUCUUUGCUAUAUUACGGGGCCAAAAUUAUAUGUUCGGACAUUAUUUUCGAAUAUUUUGCAUGUAUCAAAACUCUUAUAAACAAGAUAGGGUAUUCCUACAUAGCUGGUGGGACCCACGGCAAAUGGAUCAUAAAGUCUUCAAAAAAGAAUAUAUACAAUUGCAUUGCAUGUAGUAACGGAUGCGAUCAUACCAGCACUAAUGCACUAGAUCCCAUCAGAACUCUGUAGUUAAGCGUGCUUGGGGGAGAGUAGUACUAGGAUGGGUGACCUCCUGGAAAGUUCUCGUGUUGCAUCCCUCUUUUUUUCGGUUUUUCUCUUUUUUUU
rnacentral:sRNA from 1 species